UUAAAUAAUUUAUAUUUUCACUCAGACUACAAUCUUCAGACAGAGUUCGAGGGUGUCUUCGGCGGGCGCGGGCCCGGGGGCGGAUGCCCCCCGGCGGCCGUGAGGCGGGCCCGCCGAAGCAACAAGGUACGAUAAACACGGGUGGGAGGUUGGACCCAGAGGGCCCUCACUCGGUAAUGAUCCUUCCGCAGGUUCACCUACGGAAA
rnacentral:misc_RNA from 1 species